rnacentral:rRNA from 1 species
UGGGGAAUUUUGCACAAUGGGGGAAACCUUGAUGCAGCGACGCCGCGGGAUGUAGAAGGCCUUCGGGUUGUAAAAAUCUUUUCUAUGGGAAGAAAAUGACAGUACCAUAGGAAUAAGGACCGGCUAAUUACGUGCCAGCAGCCGCGGUAAUACGUAAGGUCCGAGCGUUGUCCGGAAUCAUUGGGCGUAAAGGGUACGUAGGCGGGUAAGCAAGUUAGAAGUGAAAUCCUAUAGCUCAACUAUAGUAAGCUUUUAAAACUGCUCAUCUUGAGGUAUGGAAGGGAAAGUGGAAUUCCCUGUGUAGCAGUGAAAUGCGCUAAUAUUAGGAGGGAUACCGGUGGCGAAGGCGGCUUUCUGGCCCUAACCUGACGCUGAGGUACGAAAGCGUGGGUAGCAAACAGG